UACGUAGGGUGCAAGCGUUAAUCGGAAUUACUGGGCGUAAAGCGUGCGCAGGCGGUUAUGCAAGACAGAUGUGAAAUCCCCGGGCUCAACCUGGGAACUGCAUUUGAGACUGCAUGGCUGGAGUGCGGCAGAGGGGGAUGGAAUUCCGCGUGUAGCAGUGAAAUGCGUAGAUAUGCGGAGGAACACCGAUGGCGAAGGCAAUCCCCUGGGCCUGCACUGACGCUCAUGCACGAAAGCGUGGGGAGCAAACAGG
rnacentral:rRNA from 1 species